UACGGGGGGGGCAAGCGUUGUUCGGAAUUACUGGGCGUAAAGGGCUCGUAGGCGGCUUUGCAAGUCGGGUGUGAAAGCCCUCAGCUCAACUGAGGAAGUGCGCCCGAAACUGCAGAGCUUGAGUGCCGGAGAGGGUGGCGGAAUUCCCCAAGUAGAGGUGAAAUUCGUAGAUAUGGGGAGGAACACCGGUGGCGAAGGCGGCCACCUGGACGGUAACUGACGCUGAGACGCGAAAGCGUGGGGAGCAAACAGG
rnacentral:rRNA from 1 species